UACGUAGGGGGCAAGCGUUGUCCGGAUUUAUUGGGCGUAAAGAGCGUGUAGGCGGUUAGGUAGGUCCGUUGGGAAAACUCGAGGCUCAACCUCGAGACGCCGAUGGAAACCCCCUAACUAGAGUCCGGAAGAGGAGAGUGGAAUUCCUGGUGUAGCGGUGAAAUGCGCAGAUAUCAGGAAGAACACCCGUGGCUAAGGCGGCUCUCUAGUACGGUACUGACGCUGAGACGCGAAAGCGUGGGGAGCGAACAGG
rnacentral:rRNA from 1 species